rnacentral:misc_RNA from 1 species
GAUGAAGAACGUAGCGAAAUGCGAUAAGUAAUGUGAAUUGCAGAAUUCAGUGAAUCAUCGAAUCUUUGAACGCACAUUGCGCCCCUUGGUAUUCCGAGGGGCAUGCCUGUUCGAGCGUCAUUAUAACCCCUCAAGCUCAGCUUGGUGUUGGGGCCUGCUGCACUGGCAGCCCUUAAAAUCAGUGGCGGCGCCAUCUGGCUCUAAGCGUAGUAAUUCUUCUCGCUAUGGAGUCCUGGUGGAUGCUUGCCAUCAACCCCCAAUUUUUCUAUGGUUGACCUCGGAUCAGGUAGGGAUACCCGCUGAACCUAAGCAUAUCAAUAAGCGGAGGA